GCCGAAGUAGCUCAGGGGUAGAGCACUUCCUUGGUAAGGAAGAGGUCAUGGGUUCAAAUCCCAUCUUUGGCU
rnacentral:tRNA from 1 species